rfam:Acidaminococcus fermentans DSM 20731, complete genome.
AAAACCUUUUGGCAAACCUGGAGAAAUCCAGCGACGCAAAGCUAACAGGGCCUGUAAAAUGGCAGCCAGCUGCACAG